rnacentral:rRNA from 1 species
AAGGGUCCGUAGGCGGGCCUGUAAGUCAGAGGUGAAAGUUUGUGGCUCAACCAUAAAAUUGCCUUUGAUACUGCAGGUCUUGAGUUAUAGUGGAGUUGCCGGAACAUGUGGUGUAGCGGUGAAAUGCAUAGAUAUCACAUAGAACACCGAUCGCGAAGGCAGGUGACUAACUAUAUACUGACGCUGAUGGACGAAAGCGUGGGGAGCGAACGGGAUUAGAUACCCCGGUAGUCCACGCCGUAAACGAUGGAUACUAGCUGUCGGGACUUCGGUCUCGGCGGCCAAGCGAAAGUGAUAAGUAUCCCACCUGGGGAGUACGUUCGCAAGAAUGAAACUCAAAGGAAUUGACGGGGGCCCGCACAAGCGGUGGAGCAUGUGGUUUAAUUCGAUGAUACGCGAGGAACCUUACCAGGGCUUAAAUGUAGAUUGCAUUAGGCAGAGAUGCUUAUUUCUUCGGACUAUCUACAAGGUGCUGCAUGGUUGUCGUCAGCUCGUGCCGUGAGGUGUCAGGUUAAGUCCUAUAACGAGCGCAACCCCUACCGUUAGUUGCCAGCAUGUAAAGAUGGGGACUCUAACGGGACUGCCGGUGCAAACCGUGAGGAAGGUGGGGAUGACGUCAAAUCAUCACGGCCCUUACGUCCUGGGCCACACACGUGCUACAAUGGCCGGUACAGAGGGAAGCCACCACGCAAGUGGGCGCGGAUCUAUAAAACCGGUCACAGUUCGGAUCGGGGUCUGCAACUCGACCCCGUGAAGCUGGAAUCGCUAGUAAUCGGAUAUCAGCCAUGAUCCGGUGAAUACGUUCCCGGGCCUUGUACACACCGCCCGUCAAGCCAUGGAAGCUGGGAGUGCCUGAAGUCCGUCACCGUAAGGAGCGGCCUAAGGCAAAAUCGGUAACUAGG